rnacentral:tRNA from 2 species
AGCUCUGUGGCUUAGUUGGUUAAAGCGCCUGUCUAGUAAACAGGAGAUCCUGGGUCCAAAUCCCAGCAGUGCCU